UGGGGAAUAUUGGACAAUGGGCGCAAGCCUGAUCCAGCCAUGCCGCGUGAGUGAUGAAGGCCUUAGGGUUGUAAAGCUCUUUCGCCGACGAAGAUAAUGACGGUAGUCGGAGAAGAAGCCCCGGCUAACUUCGUGCCAGCAGCCGCGGUAAUACGAAGGGGGCUAGCGUUGUUCGGAAUCACUGGGCGUAAAGCGCACGUAGGCGGAUUGUUAAGUCAGGGGUGAAAGCCUGGAGCUCAACUCCAGAACUGCCCUUGAUACUGGCAAUCUCGAGUCCGGAAGAGGUAAGUGGAACUGCGAGUGUAGAGGUGAAAUUCGUAGAUAUUCGCAAGAACACCAGUGGCGAAGGCGGCUUACUGGUCCGGUACUGACGCUGAGGUGCGAAAAGCGUGGGGGAGCAAAACAGGAUUAGAUACCCUGGUAGUCCACGCCGUAAACGAUGGAGGCUAGCCGUUGGCGAGCAUGCUCGUCAGUGGCGCAGCUAACGCAUUAAGCCUCCCGCCUGGGGAGUACGGUCGCAAGAUU
rnacentral:rRNA from 1 species